rnacentral:lncRNA from 1 species
GUUCCGCGCACGUAUCUAUUGGUUCUGCCUCGAUGGCGGGCAGCCGUACCGGGGUUUUGCGAGCGCUGCAGGCAGUGGACACCGAGCUUACUGCGGACUCGGUGGAAUGGUGCCCGGUUGAGGGUUGCCAGCAUCUGCUGGCCUGCGGAACCUACCAGCUGCGAGCGCCCAAGGACCAGUAGAAGAACAGCUAUACCCUGCAGCUUAUAUCCAGCCUUGCCCUGGAUGAGAGCUGUCUAUCCUUAUCACUGGAUUGGUCCACUGGGAAAUCUGUAAGGGCCAGAGAGCAGCCGUUGAAGAUCAUU